ensembl:lncRNA
CACACACGGAAGCAAAAAAGUUUAAGUUAAGUGACGAUCCGUCCCAUGUCGCGUCUCCACAAACCUGCAAGUUAUGAGACAGCUGUCAGUAUUGGAAGAAGCUUUAACGUCUCGUAGAUGAAACUAGCUGGGUUAUUUUGUUUCGUAUAAGUUAUAUUUUAAAACGGCAUUGUAGCCUACCACUCGUGGAAUAUGGAAUUUCAAAGAGAUGAUGGAGUGAUUUGACUCAGAAUUGACAUCAGGCAUUGGCAGCGCGAGAUGUGCAGAACAAGUUAAACUUCUAGCUCAGUAACAUCAACACCUAAGAAAGAAGCCCUGACCGUACAGAAGUGGACAGCUGGGCUGUCUGGGACACAUCCAGGAAGCCCCAGAGGCCGGUUUCCCGAAGCCCUCUGGCCCCCUAGGAAGGUUGUGGGUCACCUCCCCCUGUCCUGAUGUCCUGUUGAUCACCACGCUGCACUGAUCACCAAUGCCUGCGGGAUCCACCUGCUGGUCAUCUCCACGUCGUCCUCUUGUGGUGCCUUCCCAUCCAGUGAGUUCUGUUCUGCCUCUGGCAACGCUGCUUCGGUUCAGCUCUGGAUCCUCUUCGGUUCUCUUGAGCUGAGAGGUGGACUCACAACAAAGUACUCACAAUAAUGACCAGUGUGCAUGGAUGUGUUGGUUGUGCCCACAAAGUCAUUCAUGCUCUCAAUCUUUGGCAGCAACAUGCCCCCAUACAGGGAUCUGAUUGGAACGGUGAUUUGUAUAACCUAAAAGGAAAGCGAGCAUGAUCAUGAGUACUUGAGUGAGGCCCAAGGCCCAGACAACUUGGCCAGCGCCGCUGUGAAGCUGAAAUGUGUUUGGCCGGAGCCUCUGUGCUUGGGGCGACUCCUGGAGCAUGCAGCCUAAAAGAAGAAGAAGAAGAAAGCUUUACCGUGCUUCACAACGGGCUCACAAUGUCCAGCUGUGUCAUGGCUCACAGUCUUUCCACAGUCAAACAACUGGACUCAACACUAAAGGCAUAUGAAAGUGUGUGUGGCCCAUGCAGUAGGUGUGAGGAGCCCUGUGUCUGUGCUCUGGAUCAUUACAGGGGACUCUGCUUCAUUUGUCAUUACUGUUGUGGCUACCGCUGACAGUAGACUUUAUAUUAAAACAAGACAGGGGAACUGUUCUGUUUUGAAUGAAUAACUAAUUUAAUAUGAAGGCCCAUUUGUUUGAUUAAAUACUGCUUUUACGUUUGCUUACUUGAGGAUACCCCAACGAUUGUCCUUUACAGGGCCCUGUCUCAAGAAGCAGGGAUAUGUUUAAGCUUCAACUACAAAAGCAAGCUUUUUUUGGUUUCAGAACAGCUGAUUUUAAUCUUGGAUAGGUUGAACCUGAAAAAUGUCUAUUCAUGAAAAGCCAUCAUGUAUUGCACCCUGUAAAUGUAAUAGAUCGUGAGAAUCCAUCGUGAGAAAAGUCGUCAAUGCUAUUUCAAUAUUAUAUAAUUAAACUAAUAAAAGCAAAAGCCACUUCUGCAAUAAUGUUAUCAGCUGU